rnacentral:rRNA from 1 species
GAUGAACGCUGGCUGCAUGCCUAAUACAUGCAAGUCGAGCGAACGGGCCAUAAGCUUCCUUCUCUUGUGUUGGCGGCAGCCGGGUGAGUAACACUUGGAUAACCUACCUCUACGACUCGGAUAACAACGAGAAUCCGGAGCUAAGACCGAUUAAUAUUUUUAUCCGCCUAGUUCAUCAGUGUAAGACGGUCGUUCUGUCACUUAUGGAUGGAUCCGCGAUGCAUUAGCUAGUUGGUAAGGUAACGGCUUACCAAGGCAACGAUGCAUAGGCGACCUGAGAGGGGGAUAGGCCCCCCUGGAACUGAGACACGGUCCAGACUACUACGGGAGGCAGCAGUAGGGAAGCGUACGUAAGGGGAGAAAGCCGGACGGAGCAAAGCCGAGUGAGGGAUGAAGGUCUUCGGAUAGGAAAACUCUGCUAUUAGGGAAGAACAAAUGUGUAAGUAACUGGGCACAUCUUGACGGUACCUAAUGAGAAAGCCACGGCUAACUACGUG